UCAUGAGCAGCUCCUGCAGCCUUUCCACAGCAAGCAGGCAGCAAGCAACGUGAGCUAAUGAACUGUAUUUUAACCACCUGAUGCUGGUCACAGCUUUCAUCUAUCAGGCUUAUGGGCUGCGUGGAGGAGGGGAGGCAGAGAGCUUUGGCACACCUCGGUGCUACUGGAGCUGUUCGUCAGUCUGCUCUGCAGUCUACUGCGGAGUUUGCUUUAUUAAAGCUCCCUGCACACAUUCACUGGCACAGACAUCGGGAGACGAGCAAACACUUAGCUGAGCGCAGAGUGCUUGCAGCUGCAUUGCAGGGUUUGCUGGCAACAAAGCGAUGGGGCAGAUGUCAGCUGAACGGCAGUUAAAAUCUAACCAGGAGAAAUUCAUGUUGAGGCCUAAAUGAAGGUCACGUUUUCAUGAUGUCAAGCAGGCUGCUGUCUUUUCUGUAAUAAAGCUCACCUAAUCAAAACA
rnacentral:lncRNA from 1 species